rnacentral:rRNA from 1 species
UACGUAGGGACCAAGCGUUGUUCGGAUUUACUGGGCGUAAAGGGCGCGUAGGCGGCUUAACAAGUCAGGUGUGAAAUCUCGGGGCUUAACUCCGAAAGUGCAUUUGAAACUGUUAGGCUAGAGUGCAGUAGAGGUUGGUGGAAUUCCCAGUGUAGAGGUGAAAUUCGUAGAUAUUGGGAGGAACACCGGUGGCGAAGGCGACUUACUGGACACGUAUUGACGCUGAGGUGCGAAAGCGUGGGGAGCAAACAGGG